UGGGGGAUUUUAGGAAGAAGAAAUAGAGAAAAAAAGAAAAUAGAAAUCAAAACUCAUCAUCCUCAUCUAUCUCUCUCCACGCUACUCCCUCAUUCUCUGUAAGUUUCGACAGCUUCUCUACUCCCUCCGUUCAGCCACCGUGCCGUCACCGAGAUAGCUCCGGCGAAUCCACUGUGAUGCAAAUAGCCCACUCUAUUAACCCCAGGUCCCAAUUUUCAUUAGCUCUUCUCAAUUUCAGAAAUUGAGUUGUCAAACCCACUUCCAAAGUAGUUGAAAUUAGAGGCGAACCUGGUGCGAGCUCAAGUAAUAGGGGAAAAGGCCAGAGCCAGGGGCUGAGUAAGCAAGUAAUAGAGUUUUUGUGACGUGUAUAGAGUAUAGAAGUGAGUGAUCUCGCUUGUUGAGCAGCUGCACGUGUGAAGUCACUACGCCCCUUUUUGUCGGUAAAGUUGGAGUUUCACGUGGCAUGCUUAAGUUAACCUUUUGGUUGUAUAUGGUUGAUCUGAAGAUGUAAGGUUAUGAAAUCUUCUUUUGCUAGUGGGGUUGUAAGUAUUUAUCGAAACAGGUCAUCGUUGUUUUCGUUAUGUGUAGUAGUAAAGUUGUGUUAUCAAGAUUAACAAUGUCAGUAUAUAAGAGUGUUGCGCGUUGGGGGUUUGCAAAAUAAUAAAAAAAAAAAAGUUAUGCAGGUUAAAUAGGCAGAUUUUGUUUAGCGAUCGAACCAGAAUGUGACACCACUUAUUUAGUUAAAACUAACCGAGUAAGGGGUGUUACAGUUGAUCUGUUUUUAUUCCGUUCAAUUUGCAUGGAUCUAGUUCUGAUCAGA